GGUAGAAGAAGACCUCAGCCCAUACUUUCUGUGCAACCUCGAAGGUCCUCUCGAUUCCGUGGUCUCCGUCAAGCAGGAUUUCUGGCUCCACAAUCGGCACCAACCCAUUGUCCUGCAAACCCAUUAGAAGAGAACUUGAGUAUAAGAUGAAGAAACAACACAAGGAACCGAGUGUGUGUACUUGUGCGAUGGCAGCGUAUCGAGCCAAGCCCCAGGCAGCUUCCUUGACUGCAAGAGCCGAUGGGCCAUUUGGAAUGCUGACCACUGUACGCCUGCAAUGUGUUUGAUGUAAGUCCUCUGAGAACAUGCACGGGGAAGGUUCCUGCAACUUAUGAAGUGAAUUCUACCAUUUAGCAAAGCGGGCACCCUGUUGAUAGUAUGCUGCGCAUCGCGAUGCCAGGCCGUCCAGUCCUUGGCACCAUGAUUCGUCAUUUGAGCCAGUGAGUGGCACUAAACCCUGAGGAAAAGACAACAUGGCGUCAAACACAGCCCUGCCCAUCUCCUAGCAGACGACGUCACAGGAGCAUUGGCACAUGAUUUAAGCGAUUACCUUGUCGACCUUGAUCCCUGGCAUUAUGUUCUGUUGAGUAAGAACAUCAACCAUCUUCUUACCAUCUGUGGUCGACUGAUAAAGAGUUUCCUCGAACAGGAUUGCUCCGGAGAUGUACUGACCCAGACCAGGUGCUGAGACAAGGAGGGUCCUGUAAGC